GCAUCAGUGGUGUAUGGAACACACACUGACCGUAUCAAGAAUAACUGUAUUGCUCCUUGGCGGUGAGACGGGGUUCGAUUCCCUGCUGGUGCA